CUUUGAAUUAAUGCAAUUUCAUUUCGUUUCCUUUUUCUCUUUUGAGCACCAGACUUAUAUUUAGGAGGCAUAGCGUAUGAGUCUAUAUCUAAUGUCCAAUGAUGAACCUAAAAAACAAUUACAAAAUAUCUCAAUCAUCUCAUAAUUACAAUUUUCAAUAUAGUUACUACGUGCGCUUGUGCAAUUGUUCAUCCUACAAUAACCAAUCAUAUAAGUCGACCAGGUCGCAAUUAUAUAAGUCGACAAGGCUUCAAAUAUUUCCAAUAUCUUCAAUAACAAGUUAGGGCAAGUCAUUGCUUACUUGAGAAGUGGAAUGUCAAUGAAAAUUGUGGAAUUACACCCUUGACAAUUCCACCAUCACAGCACAUAAGUCUGAAAU
rnacentral:lncRNA from 1 species